UACGAAGGGGGCUAGCGUUGUUCGGAAUCACUGGGCGUAAAGCGCACGCAGGCGGAUUGAUAAGUCAGGGGUGAAAUCCCGGAGCUCAACUUCGGAAUUGCCUUUGAUACUGUCUGUCUUGAGUCCGGGAGAGGUGAGUGGAAUUCCUAGUGUAGAGGUGAAAUUCGUAGAUAUUCGCAAGAACACCAGUGGCGAAGGCGGCUCACUGGCCCGAUACUGACGCUGAGGUGCGAAAGCGUGGGGAGCAAACAGG
rnacentral:rRNA from 1 species